GACGAACGCUGGCGGCGUGCUUAACACAUGCAAGUCGAACGGUGAAGCGCCUUCCUUUUUGGUGGGUGUGGAUGAGUGGCGAACGGGUGAGUAACACGUGAGUAACCUGCCCCCUUCUUCUGGAUAACCGCAUGAAAGUGUGGCUAAUACGGGAUAUUCUGGGUCUGUCGCAUGAUGGGUCUGGGAAAGAUAUUGUUUCGGUGGGGGAUGGGCUCGCGGCCUAUCAGCUUGUUGGUGGGGUGAUGGCCUACCAAGGCGGUGACGGGUAGCCGGCCUGAGAGGGUGGACGGUCACACUGGGACUGAGACACGGCCCAGACUCCUACGAGAGGCAGCAGUGGGGAAUAGUGCACAAUGGGCGCAAGCCUGAUGCAGCGACGCCGCGUGAGGGAUGGAGGCCUUCGGGUUGUGAACCUCCUUCGCCAGUGAAGCAGGCCUGCCUCGUUUGUGGGUGGGUUGACGGUAGCUGGAUAAGAAGCGCCGGCUAACUACGUG
rnacentral:rRNA from 1 species